rnacentral:rRNA from 1 species
GCACCUACGGGGCGCAGCAGUGAGGAAUAUUGGUCAAUGGGCGGAAGCCUGAACCAGCCAAGUCGCGUGAGGGAAGAAGGCCCUGUGGGUUGCAGACCUCUUUGGACGGGGAGCAAGGCCGCCGACGUGUCGGCGGAAGGAGAGUACCCGUAGAACAAGCAUCGGCUAACUCCGUGCCAGCAGCCGCGGUAAUACGGAGGAUGCGAGCGUUAUCCGGAUUUAUUGGGUUUAAAGGGUGCGCAGGCGGCACGGCAAGCCGGCGGUCAAAUUGCGGGGGUCAACCCCUUCCAGCCGU